UCUCCGUAGGUGAACCAGCGGAGGGAUCAUUAUUGUGUAACCCAGACGCGAGGGCUGCUGUUGACACGCCUAGUCUUGCACGCCCGAGAGCCCUCACACACCUCCCUCGCACCCCUGUGUCCACCACCGCGCGGGUCCCCCCUUGCUCUGUUCGGUGGGGGGCUUACGCUUUCACACAAACUUUGUAAUAAGUGAAGAAUGUAUUCUUUGUUUUUGCGAGCACGCAAUCAAUACAACUUUCAACAACGGAGCUCUUGGCUCUCGCAUCGCUCAAGUACC
rnacentral:misc_RNA from 1 species